ensembl:lncRNA
GGACUUCGAACAGCUUACAAAGAGCUACAGGAAAUUACCAAAGAAGCCAGUGAGGCAGAGGCCAACCAUGACAUCUUGCUCCCUGGCUUAAUUUCCAAAUACUUUUCACCUUUGUUUUUCUACAUCUGGGUUGACCUGCUAAACCUACCUAACAAUUUACAGUUUUCAAAGCCCAUUGCCCGUGUUCAGAAGGCUAACUAUUUUCUUCAACUCACUGGGAGUCCUGCUGAGGAAAAGACCGAAAAGCGCCAAGGUCAGAAGAAAACGGGACUGAACAGGAGCUACACAAGGGGAUGCAGAAGAAGAUUUACUAGAGGGGUGCUGGAGUGGACAACGACCCAGCAGAGCCAACAGAAAAAGCCCCAGGAGCAGGCACUGCUGCAGCGUGUGAAGUAUUUACACAACCUGCCGGAGCAGCCCUUUCAGCUAGGGGUUACGGCUGUGCCAGGGAAUGAGAAAGGUCCUGUACUCUAGUGCCGAGGGCGAGAGGCACAGUACGCCUUGCAUCCGUUUUUGCGUCCUCCAGCCCAGCCUCCCUCAAAGCCUCAGAUGCCCAAAAUGACCUCCUGGGUGGAUGUCUCACAUACACCAGGGAAUCUCAAACGGCAACAGACACAUAAACAUGGGCACCUGAAUUGGGCCCCGCGUACGAUGAGCUGACACUGCUCCGUGCUCCCCAUUGACCAGCAUUGACUACAUCUCCACCGACUACACAACAACACUCACGCACAUGUGGACACCUACAUGUAUGUGUCUCGCUCUGGAGCUGAAUCGUACCUGAACUGUGCUAGUGGCUGUGUUGUCAAUGGCCCUGCUGCAGAAGAGAGAUAUUGGAGGUGCAAGGCAAAACCAAACGAAGAUAUGUAUACCUUUCAGGUAUCUGGUAACGUGACGGCCCCUUGCAACCAAGGAUAGACAAGGAAAGCCUGUGGCUUGCCCUCCACCUAGCUAGACUUACAGCAGUGCAGAUGCAGUGAUAUAGCUUCAUUCACCAGUAUUAUCCAGUGUCCUGUUAGGUUAAUAUGGUCUUUGCUUUAGCCUGUGCUGCUGCAUCUCUACUGCUUCAUCUUAUUGCUGUGCCUGCACCAGCGAGCCUGAAGGUAGCUCAGGUCUUGCUGCAUGAAGCGUGACCGCAUCUCUGAAUCACAGGGGAAAUGUAGGGCUGAAGCCACCAGACAGGGCUGAAGAACUGGGCACUGACCUUGGUUCAGAUCUCCUGACCCUGUAACUCGGUAUUUCUGCUCCAGCCACACAGGGAGACACCCAGAGCGAGCCCCACCGGCUGCGUGAAAUGCUAGCCGAGAGAAACAGCUUAACAUGCUCCCUGGUGCAGUGUGCUCGAAACCACCCAUCAGCAGGGUGCUGUGUCAGGAAAUACUGGAGACAGGGAAACCACAUUGGGUGCUGAGGUCCCCAGUCUUGCCUGAGCUUGCAGCGGGUGCACCUUAGUCACUGCAAGCAAAAUGGAUGAAUAUCUUCUGAAGUUAAUUAAAAUGAGAAAUGAACAGGUUGGGGGGAGGAUUUAGGAAAAAUGACACAGCUUUUCAACAGAGUAGCCCUGCUGCUCACGAGAGUAAAAGUAUAGCCCAGAAUGGAGUGGGAGAUACAUGCAGGGAGAGACAGAUAUAGACAUUUUAAAAUAACCAUACAAAAUGAAUAGAGAAUGUAACUGCGAAAUGAACUGUAAACAGAACAAAUUUACGUGAAACUGAACAAAACCAGGGAAGCUAGACUCACUACCUUUAUCUUGUGUGAAGGUUUUAUUGUGCCUUCAGGAAAAAAAAGGAGCUAAAAAGGGUUAUAAUAUCUCAUGAAACACACCUGCUGAGCUUAUAAUGGUUAUGCUCCAGGUAGAAGACAUUGCUUAUCAAAGCCUAAAUAACGUUCUCGCUUUCACAUGUAAAGAGGAACUGUAAAGUCUGGGAGUGGGAUUCCCUCAAGCAGACUAACCUCUGAAAAAUACCUACUUAUUCAUGGCUUGCAAGGUUGGGAACCUACAAGUUAUUCUGCAUUAACUAAGCUACAGAUCUGCUACUCUCUACACAAAUCCCAUAGGCGUAUUAAUAUCUUUCAGCACUUAGAAAUAAA